UACGGAGGUGGCAAGCGUUGCUCGGAAUCACUGGGCGUAAAGGGCGCGUAGGCGGGGAGGUAAGUCGGGUGUGAAAUCCCUCGGCCCAACCGAGGAACUGCGCCCGAGACUGCUUCUCUUGAGUCCCGGAGAGGAAGGUGGAAUUCCCGGUGUAGCGGUGGAAUGCGCAGAUAUCGGGAGGAACACCCGUGGCGAAGGCGGGUCCCUGGGACGGUACUGACGCUGAGACGCGAAAGCGUGGGGAGCGAACAGG
rnacentral:rRNA from 1 species